AAUGUCAGCCUUAAGGAAACCCGAUUCAUUUGUUCAUUGGUUUUUCUUAUGGGUGUGCGAAUAGUGUCAAACUUGAAAACUAAUUAUCGAAUAUCAGUUUCCGAAAAUAUCAAAAUUUUUGGAAACCUUUUCUACCAUUCAAUUUUUUUUUUUGAAAAAUUAAAUUCUUCGUCAUUGCUUUUUAAAACUUUUACUAUAUUGAAAAAGCAUUUCAUACAAGAAAACAUUAAGAUACUCACAUUUCAAAUUUAUUCUAACAUUCUAACAUUUUAUUAUUCAAUUCACAACCAGAAAAUUUCAGAUAUUUGCGCACCCAUAGUUAUUAACUAAUUUAUCUCAAUUCAUAAAUUGAUCUUAUUCUUCCUUAUUGUGGGAAUUUGUUUGUUUCAUUGGAAAAAGUUACACAAUGAACAAAUUUUUUUCCGCGAAUUUUGCUUUAAUUGCUUCAACAUUCUAAUAUUAACGAUUUAAAUUAUUACAAAAAAGUAAAUUACUUAAAUCAAUUUUUUCUUUUCUUUCAGAGAUUUAAAAUCCAGUCGUUUUUACAUUGGACAACAGGAGAUAAGGUGAUCUUCAGCGAAAUACAGAAUCAAAAUCUUGGCUCGUUUUAAUAUAUCAUUUGCCACGAUGGCGAUGUGCAGGGUAGCUGCAGUGAAAUAAAGAAGACUGACAAAUACGCACUGGAGUCAUACAUUAACAUUAAGGAUACACAUUAAGGAUGUUUGGGAGGUAUGUCAAAAUGCUACGAAGCAAAUAAAAAUUUGG